AGUGAACGCUGGCGGUAGGCCUAACACAUGCAAGUCGAACGGCAGCACAGUAAGAGCUUGCUCUUACGGGUGGCGAGUGGCGGACGGGUGAGGAAUACAUCGGAAUCUACUUUUUCGUGGGGGAUAACGUAGGGAAACUUACGCUAAUACCGCAUACGACCUACGGGUGAAAGCAGGGGAUCUUCUGACCUUGCGCGAUUGAAUGAGCCGAUGUCGGAUUAGCUAGUUGGCGGGGUAAAGGCCCACCAAGGCGACGAUCCGUAGCUGGUCUGAGAGGAUGAUCGGCCACACUGGAACUUAGACACGGUCCAGACUCCUACGGGAGGCAGCAGUGUGGAAUAUUGGACAAUGGGCGCAAGCCUGAUCCAGCCAUACCGCGUGGGUGAAGAAGGCCUUCGGGUUGUAAAGCCCUUUUGUUGGGAAAGAAAAGCAGCAGGUUAAUACCCCGCUGUUCUGACGGUACCCAAAGAAUAAGCACCGGCUAACUUCGUG
rnacentral:rRNA from 1 species